CCAUCCGCUUAUUGUUGUGCCUGUGAGAGAGAGAGAGGGAGAGAGAGAGAGAGAUUUCAAGCUCCAAACUUUCUUUGUUCAGCAAUAUCAAUUCGAUGUUGUUCCUCAUAUUUAAGAUCUGGAUUGGACAUACGUGUCAUCCAGUUUGCAUCAACAACCUAAAAAUGAAGAGAGAGAGAGAGAGUGAGAGAGAUUGAUUUUGUUUGUGUCAAAACUAGUUUCUUGCUUCUAGAUUAUGGCAUUAGUUUUAUACAUAUAUGUAAUUAUUUUUCCUAUAUAUUUUUUCCUCAUCUCUUUGUCUCUAAAGUCUAAUCUUUCUCAACUCAUAUGAUGAUGCACUUCUUGUUAUGCUUCUUUAUUUCUUUUUUUCACUCUUAAUUUUCUCCCUUUUACUUGUACGGAUGCAGGUUCUUUGUCUCAAACCCUAAUUUUUUUUACCAAAUAAUUAUUGGUUUUGUUUUUGAGCAUAUGAUGCACACAUAUAGGUUUUGUUUUCCUUUCCAUUAAUGUAUAUAUAUAACUCUUUGACUCUCUUUUCAUCAGAUCUGUAAAAUUAUGAGUUUUCUUUUCUUUCCUUUUCCCCCAAUUUUUUCAUCCUGGGAAGUUUCUAAAUUUGGGAAAUUAUUAAUUUGGCACAUAGAAAUUGACAGAAGAGAGUGAGCACAUAGAAAAUAUAUUGUAUAAAUUUAUGCAAUUUUUUUUGUGUGCUCACUACUCUUUCUGUCGGAUUCUGUCCAAAAAUUUGUUGUUUCUGGUUUCAACCAUUUUCUCUCUCAUAUAUCUCCCUCUCUCUCUCUCAAUGGAGCUCAAAGACAAACAUCACUGAGUGAAGCAAGUUAAUUAAUAGCUAUGUUGCGGUCGCCAUGCUUUGUGGUCGUCAUGCUCGUGUGCUCCAUGGCUGUCGUGCUUGUGUUCUCUGUUCAGUAUCGUGCUCACCAUCUCUAUAUAGAAUUUAACAUUUAAUGUUUAUAUUAUUUGUGGAAUGAUUGUAUUAUAUAGAAUUUUUAAUUUGCUUACUCGUUAAA